GACGAACGCUGGCGGCGUGCUUAACACAUGCAAGUCGAACGGAAAGGCCCUGCUUUUGUGGGGUGCCCGAGUGGCGAACGGGUGAGUAACACGUGAGUAACCUGCCCUUGACUUUGGGAUAACUUCAGGAAACUGGGGCUAAUACCGGAUAGGAGCUCCUGCUGCAUGGUGGGGGUUGGAAAGUUUCGGCGGUUGGGGAUGGACUCGCGGCUUAUCAGCUUGUUGGUGGGGUAGUGGCUUACCAAGGCUUUGACGGGUAGCCGGCCUGAGAGGGUGACCGGCCACAUUGGGACUGAGAUACGGCCCAGACUCCUACGGGAGGCAGCAGUGGGGAAUAUUGCACAAUGGGCGGAAGCCUGAUGCAGCAACGCCGCGUGCGGGAUGACGGCCUUCGGGUUGUAAACCGCUUUCGCCUGUGACGAAGCGUGAGUGACGGUAAUGGGUAAAGAAGCACCGGCUAACUACGUGCCAGCAGCCGCGGUGAUACGUAGGGUGCGAGCGUUGUCCGGAUUUAUUGGGCGUAAAGGGCUCGUAGGUGGUUGAUCGCGUCGGAAGUGUAAUCUUGGGGCUUAACCCUGAGCGUGCUUUCGAUACGGGUUGACUUGAGGAAGGUAGGGGAGAAUGGAAUUCCUGGUGGAGCGGUGGAAUGCGCAGAUAUCAGGAGGAACACCAGUGGCGAAGGCGGUUCUCUGGGCCUUUCCUGACGCUGAGGAGCGAAAGCGUGGGGAGCGAACAGGCUUAGAUACCCUGGUAGUCCACGCUGUAAACGGUGGGUACUAGGUGUGGGGUCCAUUCCACGGGUUCCGUGCCGUAGCUAACGCUUUAAGUACCCCGCCUGGGGAGUACGGCCGCAAGGCUAAAACUCAAAGGAGUUGACGGGGCCCCGCACAAGCGGCGGAGCAUGCGGAUUAAUUCGAUGCAACGCGUAGAACCUUACCUGGGUUUGACAUGGAUCGGGAGUGCUCAGAGAUGGGUGUGCCUCUUUUGGGGUCGGUUCACAGGUGGUGCAUGGCUGUCGUCAGCUCGUGUCGUGAGAUGUUGGGUUAAGUCCCGCAACGAGCGCAACCCUUGUUCACUGUUGCCAGCACGUUAUGGUGGGGACUCAGUGGAGACCGCCGGGGUCAACUCGGAGGAAGGUGGGGAUGACGUCAAGUCAUCAUGCCCCUUAUGUCCAGGGCUUCACGCAUGCUACAAUGGCUGGUACAGAGAGUGGCGAGCCUGUGAGGGUGAGCGAAUCUCGGAAAGCCGGUCUCAGUUCGGAUUGGGGUCUGCAACUCGACCUCAUGAAGUCGGAGUCGCUAGUAAUCGCAGAUCAGCAACGCUGCGGUGAAUACGUUCCCGGGGCU
rnacentral:rRNA from 1 species